AGUGAACGCUGGCGGUAGGCCUAACACAUGCAAGUCGAACGGCAGCACAGAGGAGCUUGCUCCUUGGGUGGCGAGUGGCGGACGGGUGAGGAAUACAUCGGAAUCUACUCUGUCGAGGGGGAUAACGUAGGGAAACUUACGCUAAUACCGCAUACGACCUACGGGUGAAAGCAGGGGAUCUUCGGACCUUGCGCGAUUGAAUGAGCAGAUGUCGGAUUAGCUAGUUGGCGGGGUAAAGGCCCACCAAGGCGACGAUCCGUAGCUGGUCUGAGAGGAUGAUCAGCCACACUGGAACUGAGACACGGUCCAGACUCCUACGGGAGGCAGCAGUGGGGAAUAUUGGACAAUGGGCGCAAGCCUGAUCCAGCCAUACCGCGUGGGUGAAGAAGGCCUUCGGGUUGUAAAGCCCUUUUGUUGGGAAAGAAAUCCAUCUGGUUAAUACCCGGGUGGGAUGACGGUACCCAAAGAAUAAGCACCGGCUAACUUCGUGCCAGCAGCCGCCGUAA
rnacentral:rRNA from 1 species